GAGUUUGAUCCUGCUCAGAGCGAACGCUGGCGGCGUGCCUAACACAUGCAAGUCGAACGUGAACGGGGGCAACCCCAAGUAAAGUGGCGUACGGGUGAGUAAUACGUAGGUAAUCUACCCCAGAGUCUGGAAUAACCGGCCGAAAGGCUGGCUAAUACUGGAUAGAGCGACGGGACCCGUAAUCGGGUCUUUCGGGAAAGGGAGCUGGCAACAGCCUUUGCUUUGGGAUGAGCCUACGCCCCAUCAGGUAGUUGGCGAGGUAACGGCUCACCAAGCCUAUGACGGGUAGCUGGUCUGAGAGGAUGAUCAGCCACACUGGAACUGAACACGGUCCAGACUCCUACGGGAGGCAGCAGUGGGGAAUCUUGCGCAAUGGGCGAAAGCCUGACGCAGCCACGCCGCGUGAGUGAAGAA
rnacentral:rRNA from 1 species